UGGAGCGGAUUUAGUUCAGGUUUCCACCAAGUGGGUUUCUUAAAAAAAAAAUUAUUGGUGGCAGGUUUAGAGGGAAUGGUUUGUAGACAUGAGUGAAACACCUCGUCUUUUAGUAAAUUAAUUACUUCAUCGACUUGAGUUGUGUCACUCGCGUCCAUUAAGGAUGAAAUUCUAAAAAAAAAAAAAAUUUAAGUUUGAAAAAAAAAAUUCCCAGUCGGCGCGACCAAAGCUGAAGUUUACUUCGCUAAAGUUGUUUACAUGUAUGUUACUAUUGUUGUUAGAAGAGAGGGGUUCUAAAUUAACGUUAAACACGAGGCGUUUAUGGUCAGAUAAAGCCUGGUUUAUAGCAUCCCAAUCGGUGACCUUGUCCGCGAGGCCGGCAGAACAACACGUGACGUCGAUGGAGGAAGAUUUAUCCCCCUCCUCCCUCGUGACCGUGUUUGUUGACGACGUGGAGCAAGUUUGUGUCUAUGAAGUUUUCGACAUUUUCUCUUUUCGAGCAUUUGUAUUUAAGCAACCGCGCUUUAUUUGACCAUCUAUAUGAUUCAAUAUUAAGGUCGCCGCAAAAAAUCACCUCGUGGAAAUUAAUUGUUUUUAAAGAGUUGUCUAUCCUAUCAAGAAGAGCGUCGGAACAACAUGAUGGUGAAAGAUAGACAGUACACAGAAGGAUUGUCAAGUCAUUCACUUCGCACAGGACAAAUACAGCAUUCACACAAGACAAGUGAGAUAAAUGUAAAAAUUUUAAAUUCGGAUUUGCUAUUAUUACAGCCGCUCCCAAUUUAUUUUCAAUAAUAGGACCGUGGCAAACCCUGUCAAGGGGCACUGGAAAUGAAGGUAAGUUGUUUUUAGAAACUGGGAGUUCUUGCAAUAAUAGCACAUCCGAUUUUUCCUCGCGACAUUCAUUCAACAAGGAGUACAAACAAUAUGGAGAGCGUCUUACAUUGGCUUGAACACACUUAAGAACGUUCAUUGCACUAAUAAUUUGUUGAAAUUGUCCUGUGCCUUCCGCAUGUGUUUACACGCCAUGGAGUUGGCACUGUGUUUGUCACCACACCUGUGACAUUUCAAAGACGUUUUAUUUUCACAUGUUUCGGAAAGAUGUGCACCAGCGCAGUGGCUGCAUUUAGCCGCCCUAGUGCACCUCUUUCCGUUGGUGUGGGUUUUGUGACUUAGACUGCCACAAACACCACAUGGAAAGACGCGCUUUGCUCUAGCGAGUCUCAGCGAGAGGAAGUUGAUCGUGAUCCUACCACGCUCGAGUAGGACAGUCUCAACAUCCCUGUUAACCUCAAUUAUUGCGGUGGAGUUGGCACCCUCUUUUUAAUUAAUUUCACCAUCCUGAUGAAAUCGCCGCUUUUCAGCAGCGGUACAACAGCGGGAUGGCUACUGAUAUCAGCCACAAGUUGCUCUUCAGUUAUCUCUCCAGGAAUACCAAAGAUGGCAAGCCUGGGCUUGAAUGUAGGGUUUGUUUGGACUUUAAGUCCACCAAUGUUGGCGGACUUAACGUUGUCCACAAACCUCUUUUUCUCAGAGGGGUUGGCGAAGUGGAGGACAAGUUUUUUGUCCCCCCCUGUCACCGCAGCUACAUCACAAUUCUUCAAGCUGGGAGUCUGGGCGAUUCUCGCCCUGAUCUCGCUAACAGAGAGGUCCGCGGAAGCGAGCUUUACGUGAUUAAUGCUGUUACGCAGCAUAUGCGCGUAACUGGGUUUGGAUGGUUUGGCAGGCUUAGCACCUGCAUUGGCUGGCGGGGUGACUUUAGUCACCGUUGGGGUUGGUUUGGGAGGAGGUGUGGGAGCGACGGUAGUUGUUUUUUUCUUUAAGGCUGUUAAUUCAGCCCUGAUUUCUGCGACCUCAAGGUCGCAGCACUUCAGCUUAUGCUGGAGGAUCCCCACAGUAGUGUUUUGGAGAUCGGCGAGCAGACCAUUCAUUUCUCGAAAGAAAAACCUAUUAGCUGGGGAGCCUAGCUCCCCGCUAACCCUUGCCCCAACCUCAUGUAGAAAGAUUUCAUGGAAGCUCUUAAAAGAAGUGUUAAUUUCUUCCCACCCUUCCCUAAACGCUGUGUUGGAGUUAAUGGGAAUAAUGGGAGCAGGAGGAGGAGUGACCCGGGGAAACUCACCCAGAGUAGGGGCAGAAGAAGCGGAGGUAUCCGCCGCCAUAGCUGAUUAAUCCGAUAGAGUAAUCCACGCGAAAGAGAGCAAUCCAAGAGUAAGAGUGAUCCAGGGAUGUGUGCACAGUUUGGUGUCAGGGACGCGAGAGAUUUUUUUUUUUUUGUGAGUAUUCUUCCUAUAUAGAAAUUAUCCUCGUCCGCUGUAAGUCCUCGAGGGACUUUUUCGGACAAAACACCGGACAACACUAGGUGAGCGGCCCGCAACAUCUGGAAGGCUGAAAAAAACUGGCUGGCGAGGAAGGCAGUGAGGGCACCGACAGAGGGAAGUGGAAGCCUGGAUGGAGGCCAAUUGAGGAGGCAGGAGGUCCUGGAAGCCUAGAACUUGAGGGCUCUAAGCUUCAAGGUGGGGCAGCUGGAGGCUCUCGCCUCGUGCUUGAAUGGGAGGCCCUUGGCGCAGCAGUUGGUGCACUUGGAAGUGUGCCGGUCAGCAGCAGAGGGGCAGGAACGGCCUUCGUGGCCACCUUCACCGCAGUGGAAGCACCUGGGAUCUCUGGUGCAUUGGGCAGAGUUGUGGCCAAAGCCACAACAGCGGAAGCAGAUGCGUGCGCGGAUGGACUCCUCGAAGUUGAGGAUCACUCCAUCUACCACGAUCCUCCCGCGGUUGCCCAGAGCUCUGAAGGUGUUGAGGUCCACCUCGAUGAAGGCGGUGCAGGUCCCGUUUCUGGGUGCAGAACGGUGCGCAACGCGCACCACCUUGUCCCCAGGUAGUUGGCUGACAGCGGGAGUCCCCAACAGCGUCUCUUCAAUGGUGGAGUUGGACGUUUCCACCUCCACUUUGAAGAGGCAGAUGCGAGGCAGGAUCACCUUCUGCUGGCGGACCUUCAUUCCCGUUAGCUUGCUGGCCAGGGAGGUUGUCACCUCAGGGAUGAUGUCGGGAUUGCUGGAGUGGAGGACCAGCUUUCCCUUGGUUCUCAGAGAGGCCCAAACGCCUUGGGGUAGAGUGUAAGGCAGCGCGGACAGCCUUGUAGAUCUCCCUUGGGUCAGCCUGUGGGUCAUCGGAGACGACCACUGUGUGGGCCGCCGAUUUCUCACCGUGGAGAACCACUUGGGCAGCCGCAGGCUUGACCACUUGGGCGGCCGCAGGCUUGGAGACGCGGGAAGGCGCAGGUUUUGUUGGACCUUUGAAGUUGGAUCUUUUGGCAGGGGGGUUGGGAGCCUCAGGCUGCUUCCUCUUGGUUGCACCAGGAGCAGGCAGGGUGGAGGCGGGCUUCUUGGCAGGGGGGUCAGCAGGAGAAGGAGUGGCGGGCUCGGUGGGGUCAGUCUGGGAGCUGGUUUCCUUGCAGGAAGAAGCAGGGCAGGUUUGGGUGCCGUGGCAAGCAGUUUUGGGCUUGUUGACCUCCACAACGUCGUCCAGUUCCUCAAAGGACGCAAGGGUGCUGGAGAGGUUCGCAACCUCGGCAGUGAGGGCCUCGAUCUGCUCAUUCCGUAUAUUGAAGUGAUGCGUGAUGAGACCGCCCAGGCUAAUUUGGAUGGUAGGGUGAAUAUCCCGCAUUAGGUCCAUGAGUUGCUGUUUAAAUUCUGCGUUCUUCAGCUCGAGUUGGGCGAGGGUUAACAGAUGGUUCCUGGCGUAUUCGGCAUUCUCAGCAUUCUUCUUUUUCCUCCUAGAGGGGGCCAUGGCAGGAACAGGAGAGCAAAGAUGUUCACAGGUAGAGAGCUGGCGGCAGAAAAAAGUGAGUAUUCUUCCUGUGUUAAAUUUCACUCCCUCCGCUGUAAGCUUUCGGACAAGCUUUUUCGGAGAACAUACACUGACAUCAACAAGGCAAGCGGCCCGCAACAUCUGGAAGGCUGAAAAACUGGCAGGCACGGAAGGCUGUGAGGGCACCGACAGAGAGAAGUGGAUGCCUGGAUGGAGGCCGUUUGAGGAGGCAGGAGGUCCUGGAAGCCUAGAAUUUGAGGGCUCUAAGCUUCAAGGUGGGGCAGCUGGAGGCUCUCGCCUCGUGCUUGUAUGGGAGGCCCUUGGCACAGCAGUUGGUGCACUUGGAAGUGUGCCGUCAGCGGCAGAGGGGCAGGAACGGCCUUCAUGGCUACCUUCACCGCAGUGGAAGCACCUGGGAUCUCUGGUGCAUUGGGCAGAGUUGUGGCCGAAGCCACAACAGCGGAAGCAGAUGCGUGCGCGGAUGGACUCCUCGAAGUUGAGGAUCACUCCAUCUACCACGAUCCUUCCGCGGUUGCCCAGAGCUCUGAAGGUGUUGAGGUCCACCUCGAUGAAGGCGGUGCAGGUCCCGUUUCUGGGUGCAGAACGGUGCGCAACGCGCACCACCUUGUCCCCAGGUAGUUGGCUAACAGCGGGAGUCCCCAACAGCGUCUCUUCAAUGGUGGAGUUGGACGUUUCCACCUCCACUUUGAAGAGGCAGAUGCGAGGCAGGAGCACCUUCUGCUGGCGGACCUUCAUUCCCGUUAGCUUGCUGGCCAGGGAGGUUGUCACCUCAGGGAUGAUGUCGGGAUUGCUGGAGUGGAGGACCAGCUUUCCCUUGGUUCUCAGAGAGGCCCAAACGCCUUGGGGUAGAGUGUGGGCAGCGCGGACAGCCUUGAAGAUCUCCCUAGGGUCGGCCUCUGCAGGAGCACCUUCUGCUGGCGGACCUUCAUUCCCGUUAGCUUGCUGGCCAGGGAGGUUGUCACCUCAGGGAUGAUGUCGGGAUUGCUGGAGUGGAGGACCAGCUUUCCCUUGGUUCUCAGAGAGGCCCAAACGCCUUGGGGUAGAGUGUGGGCAGCGCGGACAGCCUUGAAGAUCUCCCUAGGGUCGGCCUCUGGGUCGUCGGAGACGACCACUGUGUGGGCCGCCGAUUUCUCACCGUGGAGAACCACUCGGGCGGCCGCAGGCUUGACCACUUGGGCGGCCGCAGGCUUGGAGACGCGGGAAGGCGCAGUUGGACCUUUAAAGUUGGAUCUUUUGGCCGGGGGGUUGGGAGCCUCAGGCUGCUUCCUCUUGGCUGCACCAGGAGCAGGCAGGGUGGAGGCGGGCUUCUUGGCGGGGGGGUCAGCAGGAGAAGGAGUGGCGGGCUUGGUGGGGUCAGUCUGGGAGCUGGUUUCCUUGCAGGAAGGAGCAGGGCAGGUUUGCGUGCCGUGGCAGGCAGUUUUGGGCUUGGUGACCUCCGGAAAAUCGUCCAGCUCCGCGAAGGACUCGAGGGUGAACGUGAGGUUCUCUACCUUGGCUUCAAGAGCCUUGAUCAGUUCGGUCCGCGAGGCGAUGAAGCGGAUCAGGUCCUCAUGCAGGGCUUUCAGGGUAGGAUGACGAAAGGGGCUCAGGAUGCUGCAGCUGCUUGCGAUCACCGUCUCGUUCUCCCUCUCCAGGUCGGCGACGUUCACGAUGGGCUUGUAGGCCGUUUUUUUCCUCUUGGCUGGAGGCAUGUCAAGAGCGGGCGAGCAAGGAUUUCCCUAUUUAGCUACCUUGAAAAAAAAAAUCAAGAGAAGCUUUUGACUCCAAGAGUAUCCAGGAAUCCUUACCACUGGUGGGGGGAAUAACUAGACUCGUUGAAGUUAUCGAGAGAACUCUGAGUA